ACGGCUCAGUAACACGUGGAUAACCUGCCCUUGGGUCCGGCAUAACCCCGGGAAACUGGGGAUAAUUCCGGAUAACGCACAUAUGCUGGAAUGCUUUAUGCGUCAAAUGGAUUCGUCUGCCCAAGGAUGGGUCUGCGGCCUAUCAGGUAGUAGUGGGUGUAAUGUACCUACUAGCCGACGACGGGUACGGGUUGUGAGAGCAAGAGCCCGGAGAUGGAUUCUGAGACAUGAAUCCAGGCCCUACGGGGCGCAGCAGGCGCGAAAACUUUACAAUGCGGGAAACCGUGAUAAGGGGACACCGAGUGCCAGCAUCAUAUGCUGGCUGUCCAGGUGUGUAAAAUACACCUGUUAGCAAGGGCCGGGCAAGACCGGUGCCAGCCGCCGCGGUAACACCGGCGGCCCGAGUGGUGAUCGUGAUUAUUGGGUCUAAAGGGUCCGUAGCCGGUUUGGUCAGUCCUCCGGGAAAUCUGAUAGCUCAACUAUUAGGCUUUCGGGGGAUACUGCCAGACUUGGAACCGGGAGAGGUAAGAGGUACUACAGGGGUAGGAGUGAAAUCUUGUAAUCCCUGUGGGACCACCUGUGGCGAAGGCGUCUUACCAGAACGGGUUCGACGGUGAGGGACGAAAGCUGGGGGCACGAACCGGAUUAGAUACCCGGGUAGUCCCAGCCGUAAACGGUGCUCGCUAGGUGUCAGACAUGGCGCGACCGUGUCUGGUGCCGCAGGGAAGCCGUGAAGCGAGCCACCUGGGAAGUACGGCCGCAAGGCUGAAACUUAAAGGAAUUGGCGGGGGAGCAC
rnacentral:rRNA from 1 species